AUGCUUAACACAUGCAAGUCGACGAUGAGAAAGAGCUUGCUCUUUCGAUUAGUGGCGGACGGGUGCGUAACGCGUAGGAACUACCUAUUAGUGGGGGACAACUUAGGGAAACUUAAGCUAAUACCGCAUACGCCCUACGGGGAAAGGAGGGGAUCGCAAGACCUUUCGCUAAUAGAUGAGCCUGCGUAGGAUUAGCUAUUGGUGGGGUAAAGGCUCACCAAGGCGACGAUCCUUAACUGGUUUGAGAGAAUGAUCAGCACACUGGAACUGAGACACGGUCCAGACUCCUACGGGAGGCAGCAGUGGGGAAUAUUGGCAAUGGGCGAAAGCCUGAUCCAGCAAUACCGCGUGUGUGAAGAAGGCCUUAGGGUUGUAAGCACUUUCAAUUGGAAGGAAAAAUUCGUAGCUAAUAUCUACGAACUUGACAUUACCUUAGAAGAAGCACCGGCUAACUCCGUGCCAGCAGCCGCGGUAA
rnacentral:rRNA from 1 species